AUUGAACGCUGGCGGAAUGCUUUACACAUGCAAGUCGAACGGCAGCACGGACCUCGGUCUGGUGGCGAGUGGCGAACGGGUGAGUAAUGUAUCGGAACGUGCCCAGUCGUGGGGGAUAACGUAGUGAAAAUUACGCUAAUACCGCAUACGAUCUAUGGAUGAAAGCGGGGGAUCGCAAGACCUCGCGCGAUUGGAGCGGCCGAUAUCAGAUUAGGUAGUUGGUGGGGUAAAGGCCCACCAAGCCAACGAUCUGUAGCUGGUCUGAGAGGACGACCAGCCACACUGGAACUGAGACACGGUCCAGACUCCUACGGGAGGCAGCAGUGGGGAAUUUUGGACAAUGGGCGAAAGCCUGAUCCAGCCAUUCCGCGUGCAGGAUGAAGGCCCUCGGGUUGUAAACUGCUUUUGUACAGAACGAAAAGGUUUCUACUAAUACUAGGAGCUCAUGACGGUACUGUAAGAAUAAGCACCGGCUAACUACGUGCCAGCCGCCGCAAACA
rnacentral:rRNA from 1 species